rnacentral:sRNA from 1 species
GCCGGGCGUGGUGGUGCAUGCCUGUAAUCCCAGAAGCUUGGGAGGCUGAGAUAGGGGGAUCUUGAGUUCAAAGCCAGCCUCUACAAAAAGCGAGGCACUAAGCAACUCAGUGAGAACCCUGUCUCCA